UACGGAGGGGGCUAGCGUUGUUCGGAAUUACUGGGCGUAAAGCGCACGUAGGCGGCGAUUUAAGUCAGAGGUGAAAGCCCGGGGCUCAACCCCGGAAUAGCCUUUGAGACUGGAUUGCUAGAAUCUUGGAGAGGCGAGUGGAAUUCCGAGUGUAGAGGUGAAAUUCGUAAGAUAUUCGGAAGAACACCAGUGGCGAAGGCGG
rnacentral:rRNA from 1 species